UUCCUCACAUCCUUUAAAUAUAUUAAAAUUAAUAAUUAAAAAAAUGUAAAAUUAAAAUUUUUAUAGUAAAUUGAUAUCUCUCCUAUAUAUAAAAAUAAUUUUGCUAUAAAGAAAAGAAAAAAAAAGCUUACCAAGGAAAUGGAUUUGUUUAAAGCCUUAUUUGAUUGAAGAAAAAAAUAUAAAAGAAAUGAAAAUAUUAACCAUCAAAGAGCCAGGAGAAGUUGUUUGGGGGAUCACAGCAACUUGCCCGGCGGUGGGUGAUGAGGGUGGGGAGCCAAUGCAUUUUUGUUGGAAGUGUUGGUCCCAUAAAUAUAAAUAUGGUUGAAUUAUUUUAUUAUUAAAUAAUAAUACAUCCACACACUCAAAAACACAUCAUAUGUUUUUAAAUCACCAAACCGACUGAUUGUUCAUACCCUAUAUAUUCCUACCCUAGCCCUCAAUUAUCUGUCUGUUUGUUUCCUUCCAAGAAAAUAUUGUCUAUUUUAUAAUCACAAAUUAAGGAAAACAAAUUGUUUUAAUCUCAAGAAAAAAAUUUUUGCCCUUGUCUUGCUUCAGAAAUUUUCCAAUGCAAAUGUAUGUUGCAAAAAAAAAAAAAAAAAACCCUUAAUUUCCAGUCGGGGGUCUUAUUUGGUCCUUUAGUUGUACAAAUACCAAUCCGACAACUACUCGAAUUUAUUUAGAUAAAUGAAUUAUAUUUUAUGCACCACAUUGAUUUAAGUGGACAUGUAAUAGUCUAAUAAAAAAUUUAUUAUUCAAGGUAAAUCGCUCUAGAUACUUUAUUUUUC
rnacentral:lncRNA from 1 species